GACGAACGCUGGCGGCAUGCCUAAUACAUGCAAGUCGAGCGAACAGAUGAAGUGCUUGCACUUCUGACGUUAGCGGCGAACGGGUGAGUAACACGUAAGGAAUCUACCUAUAAGCGGGGGAUAACAUUCGGAAACGGGUGCUAAUACCGCAUAAUAUCCUCUUCCGCAUGGAAGAAGAUUGAAAGACGGCUCUGCUGUCACUUAUAGAUGACCUUGCGGUGCAUUAGUUAGUUGGUGGGGUAACGGCCUACCAAGAAGAUGAUGCAUAGCCGACCUGAGAGGGUGAUCGGCCACAUUGGGACUGAGACACGGCCCAAACUCCUACGGGAGGCAGCAGUAGGGAAUCUUCCGCAAUGGGCGAAAGCCUGACGGAGCAAUGCCGCGUGAGUGAAGAAGGCCUUCGGGUCGUAAAACUCUGUUAUAAGAGAAGAACAAAUUGUAGAGUAACUGCUACAGUCUUGACGGUAUCUUAUCAGAAAGCCACGGCUAACUACGUGCCAGCAGCCGCCGUAA
rnacentral:rRNA from 1 species